rnacentral:lncRNA from 1 species
CAAUGUCCUCGGCAGCAAAAACCUCACCUUCCAGCGGUUUUCAGUGAAAGCCCCGGGACAUAGUCUCAACACCGAUGGAAUUCACAUUGGACGAUCGGAGGGGAUCAACAUAAUUAAUUCAAACAUUGUCACCGGUGAUGAUUGCAUCUCCAUUGGCCAGGGGAGCAAGCAAGUACGAAUCACAAAUGUAAGGUGCGGACACGGGCAUGGCAUUAGUGUUGGAAGCUUAGGAAAGUACGAGAAGGAAGAACCUGUGUCCAGAAUUUAUGUAAAGAAUUGCACAAUAUACGACACUGACAAUGGCGUGAGAAUUAAGACUUGGCCCGCAUUGUAUGGUGGCAUUGAGUCGAAUAUCCAUUUCGAGGACAUCGUCAUGCAGAACGUCAGCAAUCCCAUCAUUAUAGAUCAAAUGUACUGCCCAUGGAACCUAUGCAAUCGGAAGGUAACUUUUUAAUUUUCAUUUUUUUUCCAACCAAAAAGGGGAAUCUUUUUUAUUAUUAUUAUUUAUUCAUGGAGAUCAUAUAGUUGUGUGAUGUUGGCUAGAAGAAUACAUUUAUACAAAAAUAUUGUGCCUUUUUUCAGAAGCCAUCAAAAGUUCAAAUCAGCGACGUCAGCUUCAAGAAUAUUCAAGGAUCGUCAAGAACGGGCCGUUCAAAUUACGUGUAGCAGCAGCGUACCAUGUAAGGACAUUGUGCUUUCUAACGUUAACCUCAAGUACACCGGAUGUAAGGGAUCUGCGAAAUCUGUUUGUACAAAUGUUAAGCCUAGGAUUAUAGGAAAGUUGAUUCUGGGAGGAUGCUAAUGCACUCAUUUGUUGAUUCUUUAUAUAAAUGGAGAAAAUUUCUCGAUUGCACAUUGCAAUUCAUUCUUCAACUUUUCAAAUUUAAAUGAACUAGAUCAAAUAUGAUUAAAACCAAUAACUAAAAUAUUUCAAAUUUAACUGAUAUUAACAGUACGUAAAUAAUUUUUUAAGACCUCAAUCGUAAAAAUUGCAAAAUGAAAUAAAAAAAGACAAUUUAUUAAAUGAACUUAUUAAUUUAAUAGUCAAAAUUCAAAUUAAAAUGCUAUAAUUCAAUUGUAUCAAAAUUUUACUUUAUCGAAGUUCAGAAUGAUUCAUUUCUUAAUUAAAAAACUAUAAUUCGAAAUUAAGAAAUCAAAACGAAAUUUAUUUCCCUGUAAUCCUACCCCUACCAUCAUAAUUAAAAUAUUGCAAUUCAAAAUUUUUUUUUCUUUUUUAAUUAGCGCAAUAUAAUUCGAAGAAAAUAUAUAUAUCAGUCUGCUCCAAAAUUUUGUCUUCGCUUUUUUGACGUAAUUUAUUUCCUAAUGUAACUGUUUUAAGGAAUCGAGGAAACAAAAAUAAUAUACCGCUGUAAGGACACGAAAUGAUUACAACCGAAGCUGAAUUUCUCGUUGUGAAUUUCUGUUUUUUUUUCUUUUUGCUGCGUUCCAUUUAAAAGCAAAUGAUUACAACCGAAGCUGAAUAUAUUGUCGACGCUGAAAUAAAGUACGCAUAAAAUAUUACGGUGCGUCUUCACUCAAGAAAAGAGAGAAAAGAUGCGGUAAGUUUUUUUUUUUCUUUCCUCUUUUCUUCUUUCUUUUUUUUUUUCUUGUACUUGUCAGAAAACAGUGCGUAUGCACUCGCGAGAAAAGGAAUUGCGGGUGUGGCAACACCGAUCCUUCCGCGUCCAACACGACUAGAAUUGCGGAAGUACGAAAAAGGUUGUUGCGCAAGUUAUAUAGGGUUCCAGUAUAAAACAAUUUGUUUGGAGAGAAGUGCGCAGGUUGUAGUUGUUAGUUGCAGGCUAGCGCACGCAGUCUUUUUUAGCCUAAAACAAUUAAAGCAAGAAAAAGAAGGAAAAACAGAAAACGGAAUGCGUGAAAAUGCUACAGCCUGUAAUAAACCUUGAGUAAAUUAAACGAGCCACUUGACAUAGAAAAGGCCUUUCGGAGGAGGGAAAAUUCACAAACAUUUACGAAACAAUAUAGGCUAUAGAUAUCGAAAGAGAGGAAGCGCCUUUGAAAGAGAGACAUGGGUUCCAAGGCACAUGUAUGCACAAUAUACUUCUUGUUGCUGUUUGCUUUUACCAGCGAAGCUCUGCCCAAUACCUUUGAUGUCACGAAAUAUGGUGCCAAGGCAGGAUCGAAUAUCACUAAGGUAUGGAAGUAAAUUCGAUUCUCGAUAUCGCGACGGUAUUUCCUAGAUUGUUGCGGCCAGGUUUUUCAUUUUCGUUUUCGUUUUUAGGCUAUAUUGAGUGCGUGGAAAGAGGGAUGUGCAGCAGCGGGUUCCGGCAAAGUCGUGGUACCAAAAGGGAAGUACUUUUUAGGCGUGGUGGAUUUGAUAGGCCCUUGCAAGGGUGCCAUGCAUCUUCAAGUGGAAGGAACGUUGGUGGCGCCCGCAAAAGCUAGCCAACACAGCAAGGAUAGCUGGGUUACAUUGAGAUACCUGGACCGAUUAAAGGUAUCCGGUGGCAGGGCCUUCGACAGACAAGGAGAAAUUGCUUGGGAGCGAGCGCACUGUGGCGACAGAUGCAAGACACCACUUCCAAUUGUAAGCAAAACCGAAUGCUACUUUACAAAACAACAGCCAUUCAUAGACCCGUUCAUGGCAGCAAUACUAAUAAUGUUUUCUUUGCGUAAUUGAUGUAUCAAAACUGUACCAGAACCUACGGUUUGACUUCGUCACCAACAGCAUAGUUGAGGACGUAACUUCCAUCGAUAGCAAGCAGUUCCACGUCAAUGUCCUCGGCAGCAAAAACCUCACCUUCCAGCGGUUUUCAGUGAAAGCCCUGGGACAUAGUCUCAACACCGAUGGAAUUCACAUUGGACGAUCAGAGGGGAUCAACAUAAUUAAUUCAAACAUUGUCACCAGUGAUGAUUGCAUCUCCAUUGGCCAGGGGAGCAAGCAAGUACGAAUCACAAAUGUAAGGUGCGGACACGGGCAGGUCAUUAGUGUUGGAAGCUUAGGAAAGUACGAGAAGGAAGAACCUGUGUCCGGAAUUUAUGUAAAGAAUUGCACAAUAUACGACACUGACAAUGGCGUGAGAAUUAAGACUUGGCCCGCAUUGUAUGGUGGCAUUGCGUCGAAUAUCCAUUUCGAGGACAUCG